CUUGCGACAUUAUAUUCACACACACUUGCGGCACAGGGUUUUCAUCGAACACCUGUAGAUUUUCAAACACAUUGUGAACUGGGGCAUGGUAUUCGGGACACGUUUUUACUUUACAUUUGCAGUAUCUGUGUUUAGCUUCAACAAUGUUAAAGGGGACGGAUGCAUCAAUGAAACAUUGACGGCGACCAAGAAGGGAAAACAUCUAACGUCGCCGGGCUACCCUCUUGGGUACAAGAACAAUUUACAGUGUAAAUGGGAAAUUGUCGGACCCCAGUACAGCAAAAUAAAAGUGAACAUCCUCAGCAGUGACAUCGACCGGCAGGGGAACCUGUGAAGGAGACUACGUCGAAGUGCUUGAUGGAAGCACGACCAACUGGGGCGUGGCGUCUCUAGGGAGUUUCUGUGGCUUCAAUACACCUUCAUUCACAAGCAGCGGGCCCAUCAUCACAAUCAGGUUUACAACUGAUGGAUCACGAACCAGUAAGGGCUUCCGGCUGAAGUACCACUAUGAAGACUCACAGACCACACGCACAGCGUUCCUCUCCGGUGUUGGCAUAUUUGUGGGUAUUAUAUUCUUCUUCUUUGUUCUGUACAAAACUUCAUCAACAUGUGCAAGAAAACGCCACAGUGGCAGAAUUGAACUUGAAACACAGCAUCAAACUCAGGACACAGAGGUGCCAACAGAGGUUGUCGAGCCAACCAGGAAUAAUGCAGAGUUAUCUGCCCCUCCUCCGACAUACAACGAAGUUGUUGCUGACGGCAAUAUAAACAAUAAUAAAGACAAUCUGGAUGAGACUUCCCCACCACCGUAUUCAACAUUACGCAUAUCGCAUGCAUGACUUGACCAUGGGGAUUGGAAGAUACUGUUGUACACGAUUAAAAAGUAGGCAUGCAUUUAUUGACGAUGCAAUCAACGUUAUAUUGGUUUGUUAAUUGGAUGAUGUGAGAAAUUCGUGAAUUACUCGUAAAGCACGCAUCAGACAACAGUGGAGCUGUUUAGUUGAAACGUAUGAAUGUAUUUCCAUACAAAAUCAAAAUCAAUGUUUUUGUGUCAAUCUGUGUUAAUAAACUCACGAACUGUU
rnacentral:misc_RNA from 1 species